rnacentral:lncRNA from 1 species
CACCAGCAGAAGAAAGACCUCUGAUCCACCAAAAAAGUGCUCUGUAAAGAGCUGAGCCAUACAAGAUUGGAAGGAUAUGGUAUUUUCCCCAAAGAACAAGUUUGAAAUCAGUUUGGGGGAUAUAGAUGAGGAAUAAAUGACAUCUAUAAAUGACAAGCUACCAAGAAAAAAGUACAUUGGUGAGCCCAGGCUCUUACUGAAAGUUACAGUCACAACAAUGAGCAUGUUGCCUAUCAUGGUCAAAAUAUAGAAGAGCAAGAACAUAAAAAAAAGAACUGUCUGCUCCUUUGUAUUCUGCGUGAGACCCAAGAGGACAAAGUGUUUUCAUGGAAAUCAAACCAACAAAUGCAUCACUUUCAAGUCUUUGGAGGUACGGGGCCAAUAUAUAUCAGAGAAUAAGAGAGAUUCUGGUAUGCUAAGAAGAUUGGAGACCAUUCCAGCCCCAAGACUCUUUCAAGGCCAUUCAAUUUUCAGAGUGUUCUUCUCAGCAGGGAUAGAGAAAUCAUGUAUACCUCUUUUUAAAUCCAAAAAAAAGUUAGCUUAACAUUCUAGGCCAGGUGAAUAGUUUCCUAACAAUUUAAAA